rnacentral:rRNA from 1 species
GACGAACGCUGGCGGCGUGCCUAAUACAUGCAAGUCGAACGCAGUGGGGACGGGUGAGUAACACGUGGGUAACCUCCCAUCAGAGGGGAUAACACUUGGAAACAGGUGCUAAACCGAUACUGAUGGAUGGACCCGGGGUGCAUUAGCUAGUUGGUGAGGUAACGGCUCACCAAGGCCACGAUGCAUAGCGGACCGGAGAGGGUGAGCGGCCACACUGGGACUGAGACACGGCCCAGACUCCUACGGGAGGCAGCAGUGGGGAAUCUUCGGCAAUGGACGAAAGUCUGACGUAGCAACGCCGCGUGUGUGAAGAAGGUUUUCGGGUUGUAAAGCACUGUUAUUAGGGAAGCGUUAUCUAACCAGAAAGCCACGGCUAACUACGUGCCAGCAGCCGCGGUAAUUC